AUUGAACGCUGGCGGCAGGCCUAACACAUGCAAGUCGAACGAGUGGCGGACGGGUGAGUAAUGUCUGGGAAACUGCCCGAUGGAGGGGGAUAACUACUGGAAACGGUAGCUAAUACCGCAUACCAUCGGAUGUGCCCAGAUGGGAUUAGCUAGUGGGUGGGGUAACGGCUCACCUAGGCGACGAUCCCUAGCUGGUCUGAGAGGAUGACCAGCCACACUGGAACUGAGACACGGUCCAGACUCCUACGGGAGGCAGCAGUGGGGAAUAUUGGACAAUGGGGGAAAGCCUGAUGCAGCCAUGCCGCGUGUAUGAAGAAGGCCUGCGGGUUGUAAAGUACUUUCAGUUGGGAGGCGUUACCAGCAGAAGAAGCACCGGCUAACUCCGUGCCAGCAGCCGCGGUAAUAC
rnacentral:rRNA from 1 species